rnacentral:rRNA from 1 species
UGGGGAAUCUUCCGCAAUGGGCGCAAGCCUGACGGAGCAACGCCGCGUGAGUGAAGAAGGCCUUCGGGUCGUAAAGCUCUGUCUUCAGGGAAGAACAACUAGGGUGUGAAUAAUGCCUUAGCCUGACGGUACCUGAGGAGGAAGCUCCGGCUAACUACGUGCCAGCAGCCGCGGUAAUACGUAGGGAGCGGGCGUUGUCCGGAAUUACUGGGCGUAAAGGGCGUGUAGGCGGGGAUUUAAGUAAGGUGUGAAAACUCCAGGCUCAACUUGGAGAUUGCACUUUAAACCGGAUCUCUUGAGGGCAGGAGAGGAAAGUGGAAUUCCUAGUGUAGCGGUGAAAUGCGUAGAUAUUAGGAGGAACACCAGUGGCGAAGGCGACUUUCUGGACUGUACCUGACGCUGAGUCGCGAAAGCGUGGGUAGCGAACAG